UUAUAAUUUAUAGCCUGCGCCCCUCAACGCAUCAAGGAAGAAACAAAGCAAGCAGCACUCCAAGCAGACAUCGGAUGCAUCUAGCAAGCAGAUCAGCUGGGAAGACGGAGGUGGCGGCGCACGCCCGGUCAGCCAGCCUGCCGCACGAGCACACACACCCCGUCCUGGCGCACCUAGAUGACAGCAUCCGUGCGCUCAGGUCGUGGUCAGCCAUAACUGCCGGUAAGUCCUCAUCCGGCAUUGCGCUAGUGGACGCCAUCCUGACGGCGCUCGGCGAGCUCCUGGUGCUGCCGCAAGCCGUAGCAGCCUUCGGAGACAAGGCUGCGUGUGACCCUAUCCUCGACAGGUUCCUCAUGCUCGCCGACGCCUACGGCACGUUCCUGUCGGCCCUUGUCACGCUCAAGCAGAGCGUGGCAGAGCUGCAGGUUGGCACUCGGUGCGGAGACGGUCCGAUGAUCUCUGCAUCGCUGCGGGCGCACAUGCGGACGGAGAAGGAGCUGUGCCGCCUCAUCUCCACAAUGAGGCACGCCACCAGAUGCACACUUGUGGUGUUGAGACCGGCGGAUACCAUGGACAGGGAGGUGAUCGACAGUGGCAGAGGUGGCUGCGGUGACUGUGGAAGCGUCUGAGGCCAUCUUCUUGCAGUGUGCGGCAAUGUCACCGGACAUGCCGGCAAUUGUCCAAAAGGUGUCUUCAAGCAAGUGGCUGGCUAGGCUAGGUGUCAGACCAGCUGCCGAGAAAGUAGCAUCGGAGACAGCAACUGUGCCACUGGAGAGGUUAGAGAAGCUAGAGGAAUGCAUCGAUGGGCUGGAGAUCGGGAGCGAGAAGGUUUUCAGGAAACUGUUGCAGUCUAGAGUUUCACUCCUGAACAUUCUAACCCUCCAGUCAUGAUGACUAUGUAUAGAAAGUCUAGAUUUUAGACGAGGAAGCAGGGUACAUAGGAGAGAACUUAAAGAAGAAUGUAGCAGGGAAUGUCUAAGAUGAAAGUAGCAGAAACAUGUAGAAUAACCGUGACAUACCGUAUGU